GGGGAGCGGGAGCAGGGCGCAUGGCAGCCACCGCCGCGGCGGCGGCGCCUCCCGAGCUCGCACACGGGGCGGGAGGGGCCGGAAUGAGGGAGAUUUGAAAAGCGUGUGCGCUGCUCGCUGCUGCAUACCGAGGCGUCCGGCGGAAAACAGCGAAGCUUUCUGUGGAUGCUGCGGCAGAAUGUUGGUGGAGAAAGCUGCUCUUUAUGCAGGUACAAAGUGGACAACGUAUCUUGAAUUACUAAAAAUGCUGUUUGCGUCAGAGUAAUGU